GGACGGCUAGCUCAGUUGGUUAGAGCGCUACAUUGACAUUGUAGAGGUCACAGGUUCGAAUCCUGUGUCGUCCA
rnacentral:tRNA from 1 species